CUCAAAUAGUAUGUUGACGUAUUCUGAAAGGGAUACUUCUUCGGACAAUAUACAAGGUGCUGCAUGGUUGUCGUCAGCUCGUGCCGUGAGGUGUCGGGUUAAGUCCCAUAACGAGCGCAACCCUAUCAUUAGUUGCCAUCAGGUCAAGCUGGGGACUCUAAUGAAACUGCCUACGCAAGUAGUGAGGAAGGUGGGGAUGACGUCAAAUCAGCACGGCCCUUACGUCCAGGGCUACACACGUGCUACAAUGGCCGGUACAAAGGGCAGCUACCUGGUGACAGGAUGCUAAUCUCAAAAGCCGGUCUCAGUUCGGAUCGGAGUCUGCAACCCGACUCCAUGAAGUUGGAAUCGCUAGUAAUCGUGGAUCAGCAUGCCACGGUGAAUACGUUCCCGGGCCUU
rnacentral:rRNA from 1 species